CAGCGGUGGGCGAGCGCCUACGGGAGAAGGCUCCCUAGAGCAGGGCAGCUGGAGCUGCAGCAAAAACCUCCAGCCAGAAGCUAAGGACUUUGAGGAAGGAAAGAAGGUCGUGGGGCAUAUUGGUGUUUAGAGAGGCUGAGGGAGCGGGGGAAAGGUGAGCUUCCAACCAGUGGUUCUCAACCAGGGACAUUUUUGCUGUCAGAGUAGCCUGGAAGAGCCCCUGGCUUCUGGUGGGCAGGAUUCAGGAGUGGUAAUAGUGGUCACUCACAUCCCAGUGAGAGUGUGCAGGAGAAACUCAGCUGGAAAGGAUGCUUGGGAUUUACCUCCUCAGAAGAGCAGCAGUUGCAGAGAUCGGAGCAGCUGGAGCAAGUGUGGG
rnacentral:lncRNA from 1 species